UACCAGCACCCCAAGUGGUCGGGACGAUUAUUGGGCCUAAAGCAUCCGUAGCCGGUUCUACAAGUCUUCCGUUAAAUCCACCUGCUUAACAGAUGGGCUGCGGAAGAUACUAUAGAGCUAGGAGGCGGGAGAGGCAAGCGGUACUCGAUGGGUAGGGGUAAAAUCCGUUGAUCCAUUGAAGACCACCAGUGGCGAAGGCGGCUUGCCAGAACGCGCUCGACGGUGAGGGAUGAAAGCUGGGGGAGCAAACCGG
rnacentral:rRNA from 1 species